rnacentral:rRNA from 1 species
AACGAACGCUGGCGGCAUGCCUAACACAUGCAAGUCGAACGAAGGCUUCGGCCUUAGUGGCGCACGGGUGAGUAACGCGCGGGAAACUGCCUAUUGGUGGGGAAUAACGACGGGAAACUGUCGCUAAUUACGCAUAAGCCCUUCGGGGGAAGGAUUUUUCGCCGAUAGAUGUGCCCGCGUCAGAUUAGGGAGUUGGUGAGGUAAUGGCUCACCAAGGCGACGAUCGGUAGCUGGUCUGAGAGGAUGAUCAGCCACACUGGGACUGAGAACACGGCCCAGACUCCUACGGGAGGCAGCAGUGGGGAAUAUUGGACAAUGGGCGAAAGCCUGAUCCAGCAAUGCCGCGUGAGUGAUGAAGGCCUUAGGGUUGUAAAGCUCUUUCGGGUGGGACGAUGAUGACGGUACCACCAGAAGAAGCCCCGGCUGACUUUGUGCCAGCCGCCGCCGUAA